AUUGAACGCUGGCGGCAGGCCUAACACAUGCAAGUCGAGCGGGGUUUUCGGACCUAGCGGCGGACGGGUGAGUAAUGCGUAGGAAGCUACCCGAUAGAGGGGGAUACCAGUUGGAAACGACUGUUAAUACCGCAUAAUGUCUACGGACCAAAGUGUGGGACCUUCGUGCCACAUGCUAUCGGAUGCGCCUACGUGGGAUUAGCUAGUUGGUGGGGUAAUGGCUCACCAAGGCGACGAUCCCUAGAUGGUUUGAGAGGAUGAUCAGCCACACUGGAACUGAGACACGGUCCAGACUCCUACGGGAGGCAGCAGUGGGGAAUAUUGGACAAUGGGCGCAAGCCUGAUCCAGCCAUGCCGCGUGUGUGAAGAAGGCCUUCGGGUUGUAAAGCACUUUCAGUAGGGAGGAAGGGUGUUGUGUUAAUAGCACAGCAUUUUGACCUUACCUACAGAAGAAGCACCGGCUAACUCUGUGCCAGCAGCCGCCGUAAAAC
rnacentral:rRNA from 1 species